CUACAGGGACUUCGGUUUGUCAACUAAAAUCACCACGGACCUGCUAGAGCACUAGAUUUUUCAUUACAGAAGAAGUUUAAGAACUGAAUCGUUUCUCUAUAGAGAAAAGGUUGAAAAGCAUUUUAAUUUGAGGAUAUUCCAACCUGAAGCAAGUUGUACCAAUGUUAAUGAUGGAAGACCCUGUUAGAAUACUGUGCAUACCUGGGGCUAAAACUUAAUCAAAGAUGACCUUUGCUGAAGUGGUGAGACUUGCUAUGCAUGUAACAGGAGACCAAACUGAGACCACCUUUGAUAUAAAGUGUAUAGAAAUGAAGAAAUCAAUGGGAGCCCCUGCCAAAAGGAGGAGUGUUGUUACAGAAUA